AGCAGAUGGAGGAUGAGCUCACCUGAGGUGUGAUCGCUUUCCUCUCACCUUUUUCUCGCCCCUUCCCCGACGACGCUUUGAUACCAACACAGAGACGCACCUGACGGUGGCGACUGACGUUGAAACUGUAAAACAUUUGGGAAGAAAGAGUGAUGUGAAUCGUGCCCAAUGAGGAGCAGCUUUAGAGUGUGAUUGUGGGCCAGACUUGACCUCCUGAGCUGGCGGGCACACAUUGACCGAGUAAAUCAAAGCGGACAAUUUCCUGCGCUGAGAGGAAAGCCCCUCGGAGGACAAGGAGUGGAGAAUAUCCCGACGUGCCCACGGCUUCCUGCCGCAGCGGUGAGAAAACACACUUGACUUCUUCUUCUGCGGCCGCCAUGUUGUUGACCAUCCACGCGGACAUGUGGUCCAGGUGGGCCAGCGGAUCCUGGCCUGCAAGGGUGGGAGGACCUCCGACCCUGCUGGGGAGAGCAAAGGGAAGCUGCAGGCCUCCAGGAGGAAGUCAACGCGUUUGGUCUCUACCACGCUCGUCAACACAGAGGGAUCCCCCUACUGAGCUAGACCGGUACUACACCCCAUCGCAAGACCUUUGACCUCAUCCCGACUGCAGGGCGCUGUCAUUCUACCUGCCUGAGCACCUGCAUGCUUUGUGCCGACGUGGCGACUUUAACGCCUCCACUGAUUGGCUCAGACCCCCCGGCUGGCAGCGGGACCCCCAGCAGGAACUUCCUGACUGUCUAUUAUUGCACCAACAACAAGCCAA